rnacentral:tRNA from 1 species
GCCAUCGUGGUGUAGUGGUCAGCACGCUGGGCAUCUAUUCCAUAGGUCCGUGGUUCGAGUCCAUGCGAAGGCG